GACGAACGCUGGCGGCGUGCUUAACACAUGCAAGUCGAACGGUAAGGCCCUGCUUUUGUGGGGUGCUCGAGUGGCGAACGGGUGAGUAACACGUGAGUAACCUGCCCUUGAUUUUGGGAUAACUUCAGGAAACUGGGGCUAAUACCGGAUAGGAGCUCCUGCUGCAUGGUGGGGGUUGGAAAGUUUCGGCGGUUGGGGAUGGACUCGCGGCUUAUCAGCUUGUUGGUGGGGUAGUGGCUUACCAAGGCUUUGACGGGUAGCCGGCCUGAGAGGGUGACCGGCCACAUUGGGACUGAGAUACGGCCCAGACUCCUACGGGAGGCAGCAGUGGGGAAUAUUGCACAAUGGGCGGAAGCCUGAUGCAGCAACGCCGCGUGCGGGAUGACGGCCUUCGGGUUGUAAACCGCUUUCGCCUGUGACGAAGCGUGAGUGAGGGUAAUGGGUAAAGAAGCACCGGCUAACUACGUG
rnacentral:rRNA from 1 species